rnacentral:rRNA from 1 species
AACGAACGCUGGCGGCAGGCUUAACACAUGCAAGUCGAACGCAUCGCAAGAUGAGUGGCAGACGGGUGAGUAACGCGUGGGAACAUACCCUUUUCUACGGAAUAGCUCUGGGAAACUGGAAUUAAUACCGUAUACGCCCUACGGGGGAAAGAUUUAUCGGGGAAGGAUUGGCCCGCGUUGGAUUAGUUAGUUGGUGGGGUAAAGGCCUACCAAGGCGACGAUCAAUAGCUGGUCUGAGAGGAGGGUCAGCCACAUUGGGACUGAGACUCGGCCCAAACUCCUGCGAGAGGCAGCAGUGGGUAAUAUUGGACAGUGGGCACAAGCCUAGUCCAGCCACGCCGCGUGAGUGAUGAAGGCCUUAGGGUUGUAAAGCUCUUUCACCGAUGAAGAUAAUGGCGGUAGUCGGAGAAGAAGCCCCGGCUAACUUCGUGCCAGCCGCCGCCGUAAUAC